UUUUUUUUUUUUUUUUUUGAUUUCAUGUUUCUAUAUAUUAUUUUCUCCCCUGAUGGGAUGGAUUAAAUAACACAGCAUCUUGCAGUAGCCACAUUCAGAAUCAGAGGCUAGUGCCAGAGAUCAAAUGGAACCUCUAAAAGAAUAUAUAUAUUAAUGUUUUCUUGGAGUUGAAGAGUUGGGAUUCUCUUUUAUAAUGGAGAGAUGCAAUCAUUUGUUAAAUCAUAUUGUGGUCCAGUGGAACUAAGGUGUUCAUAUAUUAUUUUUCCAUCUGGAAACUGUCAAGGGAAUACAUAAAUUAAUUCUUACAAUAUUUGUACCAAAAAUUCAGUGCAUCCUUAAUUU
rnacentral:misc_RNA from 1 species